AGUAACGCGUGGGUAACCUGCCUCAUACAGGGGGAUAACAGUUAGAAAUGACUGCUAAUACCGCAUAAGCGCACAGUACCACAUGGUACGGUGUGAAAAACUCCGGUGGUAUGAGAUGGACCCGCGUCUGAUUAGCUGGUUGGUGAGGUAACGGCUCACCAAGGCGACGAUCAGUAGCCGACCUGAGAGGGUGAUCGGCCACAUUGGGACUGAGACACGGCCCAA
rnacentral:rRNA from 1 species